UUCAAAUCUUGCCUCUGACACUUACUAGCUGGGUGAUCAUAGAAUCUGAGGGAGGCCCUGGCCCAGAGGAGAGAGUUCUGACUCUGGAGUUGGAGGGUUUGAGUCCAGAUCCUGACUGCAGCUACCUAAGUGUGGGAUGUUGGGGUGAAGUGACUUGCCCGGGGUCACACAGUUAGUAAGUGGCAA